AGUGAACGCUGGCGGUAGGCCUAACACAUGCAAGUCGAACGGCAGCACAGUAAGAGCUUGCUCUUACGGGUGGCGAGUGGCGGACGGGUGAGGAAUACAUCGGAAUCUACUUUUUCGUGGGGUAUAACGUAGGGAAACUUACGCUAAUACCGCAUACGACCUACGGGUGAAAGCAGGGGAUCUUCGGACCUUGCGCGAUUGAAUGAGCCGAUGUCGGAUUAGCUAGUUGGCGGGGUAAAGGCCCACCAAGGCGACGAUCCGUAGCUGGUCUGAGAGGAUGAUCAGCCACACUGGAACUGAGACACGGUCCAGACUCCUACGGGAGGCAGCAGUGGGGAAUAUUGGACAAUGGGCGCAAGCCUGAUCCAGCCAUACCGCGUGGGUGAAGAAGGCCUUCGGGUUGUAAAGCCCUUUUGUUGGGAAAGAAACGCAGCAGGUUAAUACCCCGCUGUUCUGACGGUACCCAAAGAAUAAGCACCGGCUAACUUCGUG
rnacentral:rRNA from 1 species